rnacentral:lncRNA from 1 species
UGGGGCAUCUCCACUGACAGGUAUCUUUCAGGAGCUGCCUUAUCAUGUACCUGUCAUACAGCCAAAGUAGGAGCAACUGUUCAUUCUAAGAUGCAUAAAUCAGCUUUCCAAGAUGAUGCUCAAGGAGAGUGCUGAAGAGCUCUGAAGAGCUUGAAGGUGGCAGGUACGGGGUGGCACACUUGAACUGCUCCUGGCUGCCCUGGAACAUCCCACUGAAGAUAACAUUUAUGGAAAUGCAAGGAAAAGAAUUGCUCCACCUUGCAGGUACAAAACAAGAUGCCACGUUCCUCACAGCAGCCAGAGUUGGCGUGGAUGAACAGCUCUCCCAGAGGGACCUGCUUCCCUGUGGGAAGAUGCUGCCCAGGACAGUAACGUUUCUGCUACUAGAGCUGAGGAACAGAUGGAAAGGUUGGAAAGGUUGUCUCCUACUGUGCUUGAUACAGCCCCACAGCUGGA